rnacentral:rRNA from 1 species
UACGUAGGGGGCAAGCGUUGUCCGGAAUUAUUGGGCGUAAAGAGCGUGUAGGCGGAUAUUUAAGUCAGAUGUGAAAACUGGCGGCUCAACCGUGAGACUGCAUCUGAUACUGGAUAUCUUGAGGGUAAGAGAGGGCAGUGGAAUUCCUAGUGUAGCGGUGAAAUGCGUAGAUAUUAGGAGGAACACCAGUGGCGAAGGCGGCGUCCUGGACCAACACUGACACUGAGGAGCGAAAGCCAGGGGAGCAAACGGG